UAUCGACGCUAUCCAUGGAUUGGUGCUAUCGAGCCGCCAUCGAUAGCGGCGCGCACUCUCGACAGUGGUCAAUCGCUAUCGUAGAUAGUUCGGUUUUCUCAUCUCUACCUUAAAAGUGUGAACGAAAGCACAUUGCGCGGAUUUGUGGCAUAGUUUUACAAAUUGUAAUUUAUUACAAUAUGGAUCGUUUUCUUCAAAUAGCAAAAUUUUGUGUGACAAUAUUAAAAGGAAAUGGAUCCCUUAUUAUGGAUCAAGAUGAACCUGAAAGGCUUUCCCGGAU